rnacentral:rRNA from 1 species
CCCCGGUAAACGGCGGCCGUAACUAUAACGGUCCUAAGGUAGCGAAAUUCCUUGUCGGGUAAGUUCCGACCUGCACGAAUGGCGUAAUGAUGGCCAGGCUGUCUCCACCCGAGACUCAGUGAAAUUGAACUCGCUGUGAAGAUGCAGUGUACCCGCGGCAAGACGGAAAGACCCCGUGAACCUUUACUAUAGCUUGACACUGAACAUUGAGCCUUGAUGUGUAGGAUAGGUGGGAGGCUUUGAAGUGUGGACGCCAGUCUGCAUGGAGCCGACCUUGAAAUACCACCCUUUAAUGUUUGAUGUUCUAACGUGGACCCGUAAUCCGGGUUGCGGACAGUGUCUGGUGGGUAGUUUGACUGGGGCGGUCUCCUCCUAAAGAGUAACGGAGGAGCACGAAGGUUGGCUAAUCCUGGUCGGACAUCAGGAGGUUAGUGCAAUGGCAUAAGCCAGCUUGACUGCGAGCGUGACGGCGCGAGCAGGUGCGAAAGCA